UGUGGCUCAGCAGUAGAGCUCUCACUUAGCACGUGAGAGGCUCUGGGUUCGAUCCUCAGCA
rnacentral:tRNA from 1 species